AUUGAACGCUGGCGGCAUGCCUUACACAUGCAAGUCGAACGGUAGCGGGCCUUCGGGUGCCGACGAGUGGCGAACGGGUGAGUAAUGUAUCGGAACGUACCUUUCAGUGGGGGAUAACGUAGCGAAAGUUACGCUAAUACCGCAUAUUCUGUGAGCAGGAAAGCAGGGGAUCGCAAGACCUUGCGCUGAUUGAGCGGCCGAUAUCAGAUUAGCUAGUUGGUGAGGUAAAGGCUCACCAAGGCGACGAGCUGUAGCGGGUCUGAGAGGAUGAUCCGCCACACUGGAGCUGAGACACGGUCCUGACUCCUACGGGAGGCAGCAGUGGGGAAUUUUGGACAAUGGGGGCAACCCUGAUCCAGCCAUGCCGCGUGAGUGAAGAAGGCCCUCGGGUUGUAAAGCUCUUUCGGCCGGGAAGAAAUCGUAUCAGCUAAUACCUGGUGCGGAUGACGGUACCGGCAUAAGAAGCACCGGCUAACUACGUGCCAGCCGCCGCCGUAACAC
rnacentral:rRNA from 1 species